CCUGGCUCGGAGAAGAGUCCUGGGCUGUGAGGGGUCGGCGGGGGCGAGAAGGGGGCGGGUCCUGAGCUUUCCUCCAUCUCGCUCUCUGCGCCUUUUUUCCGGGUUUUGGAGGCGAAAGCCGCCAGUGAGGCUGGAGCAGCUCAGCAGUCAUUGAAAUAGUACCUCCCUGAGAAGUCAACGUGAGGCGGUGAUUGGAUCCAGGAAAGCUCCUUGCUAUUGAAAUUAAUUUUAGCAAUUUAUGUCCAAAAUCUGGAAGUUGUCAAGGGAAGGAAUGCAAACUAGAAUGCGAAAUACAAAGCCCUGCCUCAGCCAGACCUCCAAUUUCAUGCUGACGGCCCACAGGACAGAAUAGAAAUCCUCUCCCUUUCUAUUCUCCAUUCACUGGGGUGGGAGAAUCCACCCUGUGCUCAGCUCCAGGGACUUCCCUAGAGCCACCGCCUGGGGUGCGGAGCGGAGGCCUCACGCCAGGGAGGAGUGAGGUCACCACCUCCUGCUUAAACACAGCAGGGAUGCGGGCGAGGUGGCAAGUCUGGGGUCCCGGCUACUCAGGAAGCAGGGGCGGCAAGACAGCUGAGCCUGGAGGUCCAGGCCAGCCUGGGCGACAAAGAGUGAUCUCAGACUGAAGACCUUGCCACCCUGAUGACAUUUGUAAGAUUUCUGUCCAGUAUGGAUUCUCUGAUGUCUAAUGAGGUGUGAACGUGAAGUAAAGGCUUUGCUCACAAUCAUCACACUUGCGAGGUUUCUCUCCUGUAUGAAUUCUCCUGUUUUGCAUAGUAUGAAGCUUGACUGAAGACCUUGCCUCAAUCAUGACAUUUGUAAGGUUUCUCUCCAAUAUGAGUUCACCCAUGAACUACAGCAUAUGAACAAUGUCUGAAAAUUUUGCCACAUUUACUGCACUUGUAAGAUCUCUAUUCAUUAUGGAUUCUUCAAUGAUUUGCAAUGGUUGUAGCGUUACUGAAGACUUGGUGACAAUCGUUACAUUAGUCAAGUUUCCCUACACCAUGGAUUGCCUGAUGGUGAAUAAGUGUUGACUGUGCACGAAAGGCUUUGCCACACUCACUACACUUGAAAGGUUUCUCUCCAGUAUGAAUUCUAGUAUGUUGUGCCAGGUGUGAGUAACACUUGAAAGCCUUGUCACAAACCUUACAUUUGUAUGGUUUCUCUCCAGUGUGAACUCUCUGAUGUUGUGCAAGGUAUGAAUCACGCCCAAAAGCCUUGUCGCAAACCCUACAUUUGUAUGGUUUCUCUCCAGUAUGAACUCUCCUAUGUAUUUCAAGGAGUGAUUUGAAAUUGAAAACUUUGUCACAUUCUUCACAUUUGUAAGGUUUCUCUCCAGUAUGAAGUCUAUGAUGACAUGCAAGUUGUGACUGUGUCCUAAAAACCUUGCCACAUUCAUUACACUUGUAAGGUUUCUCUCCAGUAUGAAGUCUAUGAUGAUAUGCAAGGCUUGAUUUGUGAUUAAAACUUUUGCCACAUUCA